AGCGAACGCUGGCGGCAGGCUUAACACAUGCAAGUCGAGCGGGCGUAGCAAUACGUCAGCGGCAGACGGGUGAGUAACACGUGGGAACGUACCUUUUGGUUCGGAACAACACGGGGAAACUUGUGCUAAUACCGAAUAAGCCCUUACGGGGAAAGAUUUAUCGCCGAAAGAUCGGCCCGCGUCUGAUUAGCUUGUUGGUGAGGUAACGGCUCACCAAGGCGACGAUCAGUAGCNGGUCUGAGAGGAUGAUCAGCCACACUGGGACUGAGACACGGCCCAGACUCCUACGGGAGGCAGCAGUGGGGAAUAUUGGACAAUGGGGGCAACCCUGAUCCAGCCAUGCCGCGUGAGUGAUGAAGGCCCUAGGGUUGUAAAGCUCUUUGUGCGGGAAGAUAAUGACGGUACCGCAAGAAUAAGCCCCGGCUAACUCCGUGCCAGCCGCCGCCGUAAU
rnacentral:rRNA from 1 species